rnacentral:rRNA from 1 species
GACGAACGCUGGCGGCGUGCCUAAUACAUGCAAGUAGAACGCUGAAGCGAGGAGCUUGCUCUUCUUGGAUGAGUUGCGAACGGGUGAGCAACGCGUAGGUAACCUGCCUUGUAGCGGGGGAUAACUAUUGGAAACGAUAGCUAAUACCGCAUAACAAUGGAUGACACAUGUCAUUUAUUUGAAAGGGGCAAUUGCUCCACUACAAGAUGGACCUGCGUUGUAUUAGCUAGUAGGUGAGGUAAUGGCUCACCUAGGCGACGAUACAUAGCCGACCUGAGAGGGUGAUCGGCCACACUGGGACUGAGACACGGCCCAGACUCCUACGGGAGGCAGCAGUAGGGAAUCUUCGGCAAUGGGGGCAACCCUGACCGAGCAACGCCGCGUGAGUGAAGAAGGUUUUCGGAUCGUAAAGCUCUGUUGUAAGUCAAGAACGGGUGUGAGAGUGGAAAGUUCACACUGUGACGGUAGCUUACCAGAAAGAGACGGCUAACUACGUG